UCAACUUAAUUACCAAAAAGAAUACGAUAAUAAUUGCCCAUGCAUGCAGCCUCUUUCCAAGACUAUGUGUAGAGUUGGGUGCAAUUCUAAGAUUAUACAUGUGAACCAAAAAUAUUUAAAAAAAAAAAGAAUAUUAUUUGGUUGUUCUUAAUUUCAAAUGCUAAUUUGUUUGCAUAGCCAAGAUCUUAAAUUGGACCAAUAUUCCGG
rnacentral:lncRNA from 1 species